rnacentral:rRNA from 1 species
AGGCUGACUGAUGCAGAAUUCACAAGGGUCGGCAACGAUUCUUGUUAACUCGAUCUCAAUCAGUAGACUACCGCUGACUAGCAUAUCAUAGCGAGAAAGAACUACAGAUCCCCUAGUAACGCGAGUGAAGCGGGAUGAGCUCAAAUUUAAAAUCUGGCUGGUUUACUAGUCCGAAUGUAGUUUAUAGAAGCGUUUUCGGUGGCAGCCUGGGUAUAAAUCCUUUGGAAUAGGGUAUCAUAGAGGGUGAGAAUCCGUCUUUGACUCAGUGCAUGCUACUAUGUGAUACGUUUUCAAAGAGUCGAGUUGUUUGGGAAUGCAGCUCAAAAUGGGUGGUAAAUUUCAUCUAAAGCUAAAUAUUGGCGAGAGACCGAUAGCGAACAAGUACCGUGAGGGAAAGAUGAAAAGAACUUUGAAAAGAGAGUUAAACAGUGCGUGAAAUUGUUGAAAGGGAAACGUUUGACACCAGUUAUGCGGGUGGAAAAUCAGUCUUUUGCAAUGGGGAGUUGUGGGCGUUCAGACCGCAAGGCUGGCGUUUGCUUCAUCUUUGUUGUAAGUGAUGCACUUUUUCAUUUGCAGGUCAACAUCAGUUUGCUUUGCUGGACAAAACCCCAAGGGAAGGUGGCAGCUUAGGCUGUGUUAUAGCCCUGGGGCGAUACAGUGGAGUGGACUGAGGUUUCGCAGUGUGUGCUCUCGGGCAAGGCUGACUGGGUGCUAUGGGAUCGUUCGGCGUACAAUGCAUGCAUUUUGCGUCGUGUCUUUUUCAUACUCGCUCAACUCGGCUCUUCCACACUUAGGAUGUUGACUUAAUGGUUUUAAACGACCCGUCUUGAAACACGGACCAAGGAGUCUAACAUAUAUGCAAGUGUUUGGGUGGCAAACCCAUGCGCGUAAUGAAAGUGAACGUAGGUGCGAUCCGCAAGGUGCAGCAUCGACCGAUCUUGAUAUUUUUGGAUAGAUUUGAGUAAGAGCAUAUAUGCUGGGACCCGAAAGAUGGUGAACUAUGCCUGAAUAGGGUGAAGCCAGAGGAAACUCUGGUGGAGGCUCGUAGCGAUUCUGACGUGCAAAUCGAUCGUCAAAUUUGGGUAUAGGGGCGAAAGACUAAUCGAACCAUCAGAGCUCCA